rnacentral:rRNA from 1 species
CUCGUAGUUGAAGUUCUGAUUGCUCUAGGUUUCCAGCCUUAGGCGGAGAUACUGACAGUCAUCCGCUUGCAAACAUAUGUUCGAUCUUCACCGGUUGGCUAUGUGAGUAAGCACUUUACCUUGAGAAAAACAGAGUGUUCCAGGCAGGUUUGUCCGGGAUGCAUUAGCAUGGAAUAAUAGAACAUGACUGAAGUCGAUUUAUUGGUUUAAGGCUUUAGUAAUGAUUAAUAGGAACAGUCGGGGGCAUUCGUACUCAGCAGUCAGAGGUGAAAUUCUAAGAUUUGCUGAAGACGAACUAAUGCGAAAGCAUUUGCCAAGGAUGUUUUCAUUAAUCAAGAACGAAAGUUAGGGGAUCAAAGACGAUCAGAUACCGUCCUAGUCUUAACUAUAAACUAUGCCGACUCGGAUUCAGAUGAAUCAAAAUGUUCAUUUGGGACCGUAGGAGAAAUCAAAGUCUUUGGGUUCUGGGGG